AGCCAGCCUGGGACAGAGCCCAUAAAUAGCCAGGCUAUGCGCCUGAUUCUGGAAGGCAGCUCCAGGGCCAGGAGCACUUAUUUUCUAAAAAAAAACAUUCUUAAAGGAGCCAGUGCCGUCUUCGGGCCCUACUCGGUGGGAGAGUGCCACUGGACACUCUUUGUAGGUUGCUGUUAGGCUAUGUAGAGACUAUUAGGCCCGUUUCACACCAGGUGCAUGGUGUGAGAAUGUCAGCUGCGUGGCGUGUCUGUUUUUAUUUCGGCUCCCAUCUUAACAGGUUAGACCUUGCACACUGCCUGCGUUACACGCACAUCUCAAACGCGUGCAUGCUAGGAAUAGAACUCACGCCUAUUUUUCACGCCACACGCAAGCAUGUUGGAAGAGUUUCCAUACAAAACAGUGAAGAAAAAAAUGAUGUGAGAAAAAAAAAAAUGUUUUAAUUGUCAGAGAGGCCACGCAACAGACACGCGACGUUCAUGCCACGUUCCUGGUGUGAAUUUUAAAAGUUUCAAUGAUUUUCAACACAGUAAUUUCAAGAUUGGUUGAAACUGCCCUUCAAACCUUUCUCAUACGCUUUCCCAUCUUCUAUAUAGCACUGCAACUUGAAAGAGGGAACUAUUACAUACAUUGACUCAUUGGGGGACCAUCCAAAGCGUUGCUCCCAAACCAUCCAAAAUUGGAGCCUAUUGCUGUUAGCAGAGGCUGCCAAAGGCCCUGGAAGUUCAUAAACAGGGACCAUGACUUGCAAAAUGACUCUGUGUCAUGUGGAGUGUUCUCAAUAAUGAUAGUUCGGGCAUUUGUACAGUCUGCUACAAGAAGAUGUCAGGGAAGAAAAAGGAGACAUGCUCAUUCUGCUCUACAGAAAAGAGUCCAAAACCAGAGGCAGAAACAGCUGAGAUGGAGACUGCAGAGGCAGUUGAAGUAGCAAAAACGAAGGUGGAGGUUGUUGCAGAUACAUCAGAUGCAGAGGAAGAGGAGAACGAGGAGGCAUCGGAGAAAAAGGAUGGAUUCUAUGUGGACAGCCUGUUGAAGGUGGCGUCUUCAAAGAAAGCUAAAAGAGGAGUGCCAAGGUCUUGCUAAAGACCUAGGAUAUUUGACCAAGGAAAUACCCUUCAAAAUCAUAGGCCAGCAGCUGGCCGAGCGAGGCUGCAGAAGAGAGGAUCAUGACUUGAGGUAAAAUAUGCAUACAGAUAUCUUUUUCCUUCCACUUUUUAAGUCUUUCUCCUUCUGAAUUGGCAUAAUAUUGUUAUGCCAGUGCUUUUACUCAAUUCGUAAUGUAACUUGUCUCAGAGAUUUCUUUUGUUUGUUUACAGUGCUGAACUCGACAUAAUCGAACAAGUGUUGGGCGACAACAUGGACAUGUAUUCAAAGGUCACACACACACUUGGACCCCAAGUAUGCCAGGUUGUGUUUCAGAUCACCAGAGAGUGCCUUGUUGCAAAAGGAAGUGCUGUAGAAAAUUGAAUUUUGACACUAUUUCUGAC
ensembl:lncRNA